UACAUGGGGUGCAAACGUUGCUCGGAAUUAUUGGGCGUAAAGCGCACGUAGGCGGUCCGUUAAGUCGGGUGUGAAAUCCCACGGCUCAACCGUGGAAGUGCACUCGAAACUGCAGGGCUAGAGUCCUGGAGAGGAAGGUGGAAUGCUUGGUGUAGAGGUGAAGUUCGUGAGAUAUCAAGCGGAACACCGGUGGCGAAGGCGGCCUUCUGGGACAGUGACUGGACGCUGAGACGGCGAAAGCGUGGGGAGCAAACAGG
rnacentral:rRNA from 1 species